ACCACUUACCAACCACUAGCAGUCUUUGGUGAACAGAACAGUGAUCAAUCAGGCCGAAAAUGUCACGUUCCUUCGAUAUCUUCUACUUGAACGAUUUUUCAGCCGUACCUUCACAAACGGAAAGACAAGAAUACCCGAGUUCUGGACGAAAACGUCUCUGGAAAAAUGUAAAACUGGUUCUCAUCUCUUUAUGGGUAGUUCUCUUCAUACUCUUCAUCCUGUUUGCAAUCACACACAUAACAAUCCAUAUCUAUAGAGAAAUUCAGUUGAAGAAAUUCACCAAUGGAACUUAUAACAACCCAGGAAAGAUGGAUAAUGACACUGAAAUCCAUCAUUAACUGGUUUCUCUAUUGCAAAAUAUUACUUUUUGAAAGCUGUUCGGAUUUAAUGGGUUCUACAAAACGACGACUAAGCAUAAUAUAAACAAUUCCAAUGUAGACUAUUAUAAACAGCUUGUUUUCAUAUUGAUAAGUGUCAGUUAUUAAAGCAUUG